rnacentral:lncRNA from 1 species
ACCUACACUUCCGGAACUCGAUGUCCCGAAACAGCCAGUCCCUUCCUACUUUCCUCGGCGCUGAUUCUUUAAAGCUAGCCAGGUUUAAAAGACUGGCUUGUCUCACACAUCCGAGACGGCCUUACACUCCCUGUGUAGCAGAGGAUGAUUUGCAACUCCUGAUUCUCCUUGCUUUCCCAUCCCAAGUGUUGGGAUUAAAGGCCCGUACCACAUCUCCCUGGCCUUAAAGAAGUCAUUUCCAAUGGUGAAAACGGUGUCGAUGCCUCCGGGAGAGCCCUCUGCUUCGGGGAGAAGGACCCUGUUGGAGGAGGAAGGACCCUGUUCCCCAUCACUUAUAGGGAUGGCCGCUUUAGUAACCAUCCGUGUAUGUGGAUUGGCAUUUCUGUGAGGAUGGGAGGCAGGAAAAAGAUCUGAGUAAAGUGUGCCAUCUACUUUAAAGGACACCCAAUUUCACUCUCAACACACCCUAUUGGCUGGAACUCUUCUUCAAGUCCAGAUUUAACUGGGAGAGAGGCCUUGAAAAGAAGAUAGGAGAACUACACAAACCCCCGAACCCCCAGAAGCUAUGACUGGGGAAGAGAAAAAGGAGACGGUUACUAGAGAAAAAUAUGCAACCUUUGUUCCUGGAACCAGGCAUCUAACUUUCUAUCCUAGAAAGAUAGAUAACGUAUUCUGUCUCUCCAGGGGGUGGGUGUGGCAGUCAGAAAGCUAGAACUCAGUAACUUUAGGACAAAGAUCUUGUAAAACCCUGCUGUGGGCCAGCGGAUGAUCAAAUGAUAUGUUCACAAUUUUAUUUUCAGAUUUACUCUUAAAUGUUCAUUUAAAACUAGGUGUGAAGGAGAAGCAAUCUCAUUUUCCAAUUAUGUGAUAGCUAACGGGUUCCUAUUUCAUGGAAUCUUCAGUUACUGAGAGCUAAGUCCAGCUGGGACUUUAUCUGAACCUGGGUAGGAAGUACAGACCUCAGUCAUAUUCAAAUGAUCUCAUUGUCUGGAUCUUGAAUAUUCAGAUAAAGAUUCUUGGUUCUUCCCGUGUCUUCUUAGAAAAAGAAAUCUACCUCCCCAGGAUUGCCCAAAAUUUUACCUUAGAUUUUUCCUGUAAUGUUAUUUUGUCUCCUAAACUUUCUUAAAUAUGUCCUGCGUAAAUGUGACUUCAUCCAAGCUGGGGGCUAGAGAGGGGGCUUAGAGGUUAGGAGCUGCUCUUCCAGAGGGUCCAGGUUCAAGUCCCAGCACUCACCAGGCGCAUGGUAACCAUCUGUAAUUUCAGUUCCAGGGGAUCCGAUGCUUUCUUCUGGCCUGUCUGCGCCAGGCAUGUAAGAAGAGAAUGCAGCAGAUAAAACUUUCAUACACAUA